AAUUGACAUUUCGUGCAAAUGUUCUGAAAGAAGCAAAGGAAACGAUAAAAUUGGCCGGAGGAGAGGGAAAGACGUCGAUUGGCGUCCAUGUCAGAAGAGGAGAUUUCAAAAUAUACCUGCCAAGAAAGUCAAAUGCAUCUUUAACUAAUGAGACUUAUUUUAAGAAUGCCAUGGAUUGGUACCGUCAGAGAAUAGCUGGGGAUGUUAUUUUCCUGGUCGUGAGUGAUGACUAUUUAUGGUGCGAGAAAAAUUUUGCACACAUUAAGGACGUGAAAAUCGUGAGAAAGAGUCCGGCCCAUGACUUGGCCCUCUUGACUCUGUGCAACCACAUUAUUAUCGACUAUGGAACCUAUGGCUUUUGGGCCUGGUUUCUCUCUAAGGGACACACAGUUUCUUUAAAUGCGGAGAGGAGGUGGAGAGAUGUAUGGAGGGCUGCGGAGAUGAAUUGGACCAUUUUUGACAAAGACACUUUGCAACAAAUCACUGUUUAAGAUACUUGCCUGAAUGAAAACUGCCACAAGAUAAAAAAGAAUAAACAACGGGUGUAAACUUGUUCCGUGUUGCUCAGCGAAACUGAUUGUGUAGGUGAAAAUCAAGUGGCCGGGAACAACCAAAAUCAUCAGUGAUCUUGCCGUUGUGGAAAGUUG